CUUGGGCGUCGGGCGGCCCACGUACGCAUCACUCGGAGCUGGCCAGCAGACAAGGGGGCAGCGUACGAGGCAGAAGACCGAAAAUGGCUCGAGGUGCAUCGUCAUCGGAGCACCGCGGCGCUUCCCGCUUCUAAUCUUUAUCAGCCUGCUUCGCUGCCAGCUUCUUCUGUCCCCCGUCUCGGUCCCGUCGAUUCAUCCCUCUCAGUAUCCGACUCCAUGCACCCGGAAAGAAGCAUCUUUAUGGCGGAUGCUUGCGUACUUUUGUGGGCUGUGAGACACAAGGAAGCGUCGUCAAAGCCCUAAUGUAUGUAUAUAAAAG